CCGUCCUAUUUUAUAGCUCAACUGAAGCGUCUCAGUAACCUCUGCAAAAAUCUCUUUGUCGGUCUGUAAAUCGUAACUCAGCAAUGACCGAUCUCGACCGGGUCAGAAAGGACGAUCCUUUCCUCUUGCAGUAUCAGCCAUCCGAUCUCCGAAUUGCGUCGGAAUUCCUCACCACCUGGCUCCCUUUUCUCUCCAGAGAUCUCUG
rnacentral:misc_RNA from 1 species